rnacentral:rRNA from 1 species
AGAGUUUGAUCAUGGCUCAGAUUGAACGCUGGCGGCGUGCCUAACACAUGCAAGUCGAGCGGUAACAGGUGUAGCAAUACAUGCUGACGAGCGGCGAACGGGUGAGUAAUGCAUUGGAAUCUUCCCAGUAGUGGGGAAUAACCAGUCGAAAGAUUGGCUAAUACCGCAUACGUCGGAAACGGGAAAGCGGGGGACCGUAAGGCCUCGCGCUAUUGGAUGAGCCAAUGUCGGAUUAGCUAGUUGGUGAGGUAACGGCUCACCAAGGCGACAAUCCGUAGCUGGUCUGAGAGGACGACCAGCCACACCGGAACUGAGACACGGUCCGGACUCCUACGGGAGGCAGCAGUGGGGAAUAUUGGACAAUGGGGGAAACCCUGAUCCAGCGACGCCGCGUGUGUGAAGAAGGCCUGCGGGUUGUAAAGCACUUUUAGUGGGGACAAAAAGUCACGGGAUAACACCGCGUGAUCUUGAUUUAACCCAAAGAAAAAGCACCGGCUAACUCUGUGCCAGCAGCCGCGGUAAUACAGAGGGUGCGAGCGUUAAUCGGAAUUACUGGGCGUAAAGCGCGCGUAGACGGUUUGGUAAGUCAGAUGUGAAAUCCCCGGGCUCAACCUGGGAACUGCAUUUGAUACUGCCUGGCUAGAGUAUGGAAGAGGGAAGUGGAAUUUCCGGUGUAGCGGUGAAAUGCGUAGAUAUCGGAAGGAACACCAGUGGCGAAAGCGACUUCCUGGUCCAAUACUGACGUUCAUGUGCGAAAGCGUGGGGAGCAAACAGGAUUAGAUACCCCCGUAGUCC